AGCGAACGCUGGCGGCAGGCCUAACACAUGCAAGUCGAACGAGACCUUCGGGUCUAGUGGCGGACGGGUGAGUAACACGUGGGAACGUGCCUUUAGGUUCGGAAUAACUCAGGGAAACUUGUGCUAAUACCGAAUGUGCCCUUCGGGGGAAAGAUUUAUCGCCUUUAGAGCGGCCCGCGUCUGAUUAGCUAGUUGGUGAGGUAAUGGCUCACCAAGGCUACGAUCAGUAGCUGGUCUGAGAGGAUGAUCAGCCACAUUGGGACUGAGACACGGCCCAAACUCCUACGGGAGGCAGCAGUGGGGAAUCUUGCGCAAUGGGCGAAAGCCUGACGCAGCCAUGCCGCGUGUAUGAUGAAGGUCUUAGGAUUGUAAAAUACUUUCACCGGUGAAGAUAAUGACUGUAGCCGGAGAAGAAGCCCCGGCUAACUUCGUGCCAGCCGCCGCCGUAAAAC
rnacentral:rRNA from 1 species